rnacentral:rRNA from 1 species
UACGUAGGGGGCGAGCGUUGUCCGGAAUUACUGGGCGUAAAGGGUGCGUAGGCGGUACUUUAAGUUGGAUGUGAAAUGCCCGAGCUUAACUUGGGGGGUGCAUCCAAUACUGGAGAACUAGAGUGCAGGAGAGGGAAGCGGAAUUCCUAGUGUAGCGGUGAAAUGCGUAGAUAUUAGGAGGAACACCAGUGGCGAAGGCGGCUUUCUGGACUGUAACUGACGCUGAGGCACGAAAGCGUGGGGAGCAAACAGG